AUUGCUCCUGUUCUGUACACCUGCCAGGACCUGCAGCCUACAAUACAAGUCUUUUAGUGCACAGGACUGGGAGCCGGGAUCUGGUGCUGCACUCGCUCCUUCUUGGGGAGCUGAAACAACAUGGUGGAGCACAACGGAUCACAAAUCCCCCCUUACCCCAUCCUGCAAUCACCCUGCUGUGAUGCUAUCUAGUCCCCCACUACUUUACCUACUUCCUACUUAAGGGAAACACUCUUCCCCCUAGUGUCGAGGCUCAGACAAUCAGAUUCAAGAAGAGCUUGUCUCAGAAUUAGGUAGAUAGAGCUGAUGGAGACCAGAUGACAGGGAGUCAGGUACAUAAAUAUAUGAGGAAGAGAGCGCAUGCUCUUGAAACGCGUAUGACAAGGGAGGGUGUCGGUUUUACCGUGGAAAGUUUGUUUGUCGGAUUCGGACCAAAAUAAAGCUGCAACUUUUUAUCCAAGUGCUGGAUCAGUUUCUACUUUCUUCGUUUACAUAAAUAUAUGUUUUGUUUUACUUUCAUGUCACCCCUAACAAUAUAUAAAGUUUUUUUAGCAUCUGGAUAACCCCUUAAAGGGGUAUUCCGGGAUUUUUUUUUUUAUUUGACUAUGCUACAGGGGCUGUAAAGUUAGUGUAGUUCAUAAUAUAUAGGUUUUCUUAUUUGAUUUAUUUUUAAACAGCAUACAAAAUGACUGUUGUCUCAGAUUUUUCCCAGGUUGCAAUCACUAGUCAGCUGAUGACAGGGAGCCUGUCUGCUUCAAUGGCUUGAGCAAUCGCUUGGUGGGAGUGAGCUCAAUCUGCAACUAAUGCAACAGCUGUAGGCACCCUGAUUGAAAACACAGGUCUUUUGAAUGGAUGCAGCUCAUUUAUGUUUUAAUGGGUCGGGUGGCUGAUGUGUGGGAGGGAGGAAAAUGGAAUUAUAGGAUUUGUAGGCAAAGAAGAAAACUCAAACAGGAAAUACCAGUUCACAAAAAGCUAGCCACAGUGUUAUGGUAAUCUCACAACAUAGCCAUUUAGCCCCAAGACAAGCGCAGAUCCUUCCUAAGCAUGUCCAUUACUGUCUGGCAGGUACGUACUAAAAUCACCUUAUGGUGGAUAACCCCUUUAAUUCUUUUAGAAUGCUGUGCAUUUUCAUUUCUUGUGCUUCUCCUUUUAUUUUCUAUAUUAAAUCUCCAUAUUCUGAGCCCUAUAACCAUACCUCCCAACCAUCCCAGAUCCGGAAGGACAUUCCCGCUAUUGGCCCCCACAUGUCCCGCAUUUAACUGUAAAUGCCUCUUAAUGAGGCGUCUGUAGUUAAAUGCGGUGCUCGGUGGAAGGUUUGACAGAGCCAUUGGCUCCUCACCCUGUCAAUCACUCUUGUGCUCGCUGGCUCAAGUUAGCCAGAGAACACAAGAGGCCAGGCUGAGCUCUUCCUGCUUCUGCGAACGAGUGACUUCAUCAGAUGCCGGAGCACAGAGGAAGAGAAAGGAAGAGCCCAUGCUAAGGAAGCCCCCGCCGCCGGAGCCGCUGGGAAGAGGGUAAAAGAGCCGCAGAAGGCAACUGGAUAUUCAUACGCUGCAGAGGAGGAAAGGGAUGAAGAAUAUAAUCCUGAAGAAUCUUCUGAUGAGGAAGAUUAUAGUAUUCAACAGGAGACGGAAAGUGACAGUGAGGAGGAAACAGCUGCAACAAUACAUGAAAUAACGCCGAAACGAAAAGCUCUUCUGGAAAGACUAAGAAAAAAGGCAGAACUACAUGGCGAGCUACAUGAGCACUCUUUCCAAAACGAUCCAGAGUGGCCAAGCAUCA